GAUGAACGCUGACAGAAUGCUUAACACAUGCAAGUCUUUGGCAAAUCUGUGCUUGCACAGGCUAGCCAAGGCGGACGGGUGAGUAACGCGUAAAGAACUUGCCCUGCAGACAGGGAUAACAGACGGAAACGACUGAUAACACCUGACACAGUUGCCGGCACGCAUGUGCCCGGCAAUGAAAAGAGAUGCUGCAGGAGAGCUUUGCGUCCUAUUAGCUUGUUGGUGAGGUAACGGCUCACCAAGGCGAUGAUAGGUAGCCGGCCUGAGAGGGUGAACGGCCACAAGGGGACUGAGAUACGGCCCUUACUCCUACGGGAGGCAGCAGUGGGGAAUAUUGGACAAUGGGGGCAACCCUGAUCCAGCAAUUCUGUGUGCACGAAGAAGGUUUUCGGAUUGUAAAGUGCUUUCAGCAGGGAAGAAGAGAGUGACGGACCUGCAGAAGAGGCG
rnacentral:rRNA from 1 species